UACGUAGGGUGCGAGCGUUAAUCGGAAUUACUGGGCGUAAAGUGUGCGCAGGCGGCCGCGCAAGUCGAGUGUGAAAGCCCCGGGCUCAACCUGGGAACUGCAUUUGAAACUGGCGGGCUUGAGUGUGGCAGAGGGGGGUGGAAUUCCGCGUGUAGCAGUGAAAUGCGUAGGGAUGCGGAGGAACACCGAUGGCGAAGGCAGCCCCCUGGGCCAACACUGACGCUCAGG
rnacentral:rRNA from 1 species